ACAACUUUCAGCAACGGAUCUCUUGGUUCUCGCAUC
rnacentral:rRNA from 1 species